rnacentral:tRNA from 1 species
GGAGGAGUGGCAGAGUGGUCGAUUGCGGCGGUCUUGAAAACCGUUGAGCCGCGAGGCUCCGGGGGUUCGAAUCCCUCCUCCUCCGCCA